AUAAAACUGGUAGGCACUUUAUUUUACUUUGCAGCUGUAAUAUGCUUUCUUCCCUUUUCAGAUGUCUUUUGGAAGCCACUUAUGGAAGACCCUCUGGAGAGCCACAAAAGAGCAAUUUGUUCUUCCAGCAUGGAGGCUUACAUCUCUUAAAGCGCACAGGCUUAGAGAUAUGCCUGUUCUAACCUGUUCCUCAAUCCUUUUGCUGUUGGAAUUGCCCUCAGUUUUCCAUUGAUAAGAAAAUCAGAAAAGCUGAGCGACUCCUUGAGCUCCACGUCCUCGGGCAGAAGGGUUUCUUUCAUGUUGCUGAUGCUACUUUGGGACAACUCAGUCUGAUUGUGUUGUUAAGCCAGAAGCAUUUAACCUAAACCUCCAUCCCUUCAUGGAGCCAGUUCACCAAAGUGUCUGGUGUGAGGGGGAGAAGAGAGCUGCUGAAACAAUGAGGUCAACCCUCCGAACCAAACAGGGUAAUGCUAGCUGGCCCGACAGAAGAUACGACUGCUAGGAAAUUCUGCACCCAUGUUUAUACAAAACCAAGCAGGAAAUGUUUGC